UUGGCACUAGAAGCUUUCUUGGGGCCCAUGGUCACUUAUUUUCCAGAAACACCACCGAAAACACUGUAAUAAUACGAAAUAUUCCGAGUGUAUGCUUGGAUGUUAGCGCGGAGGCUGCCUGGUAAACAAUGGCACGGGCGGCACAUGUGAGGCUGGGUGAGGGCGCACAUUAGACGCGUCUCGGACGAAAAUCGGUGAGCGGGUUUUUAAUCGGUAUGCGCGGCAAAAAUUUUGCGAUUAAAGUAAGCGGUAUGCGAAAUAAUCGCUAUGUGAUGCCAUCGUUAUGCGGGGGUCCACUGUAUAUAUUGGAUUAAUAUAGGGUGAAAAGUAUAUAUAUAUAUUCUUCAACUUUGCAGUUUUGCCUGUCUUGCACCCCAGAGUACAGCAACACUCAAGGCUAGAGAGUACAAGUGCCUCAAAGAAUAUUAUCACUGGCUUGGCAUGUCUUGUUUUGAAGGUUCAAGUUAUGCAGCUUAUCAUUUUCUUGUGGUUGUUAAAAAACCACUGCUGUCAUCCUUUGAAUGUAACAUCUGCCAGUAUCAUUACUCUGCUCUGUUGAGUUUUUUUCGUAUCUCAGUUUUAUUUCUUAAAUUUUUCCACAUUUGCUACGUAUAUUGCAUUUUGAAGAAGACAGUAGAUAAAAUGUGUGUGGACCCUCCUGCUUCUUGACAGGGUACGAUAUUUCUUGUAUUACUUUACUUUAACCCUUAAACUGUCCAAGCGUAGAUCUAUGUUCACUCGUGUAGCACUCUGAAUGUAGAUCUAUGUUUCCUUUACAUAAGAAAGCAUGUAAAAUCGAGAGUAGAUUUAUGUUCGGAGCACUAUGCGAGUGAACGUAGAUCUACGUUUGGACAGUUUAAGGGUUAAGCAAUCCAUAAACUGAAACACAUUUACAGGAAAUGUUUUAAAUAUUUCAGUACCUGUCAAAACAGUUUACUAAAUUUUUACAAGUACUUUAUUAUAAUAAAUAAUUUUGGUUCGUCACAAAAUUGCAUCAUUGUGCAUCAGUAAAUUUCAGGCUCUCAAGUUAUUCACUUUAUGGAAGUGUAAUGUGUUUGUAUUUUUUUACAAAUCGUUCAUGUUAUUAUGUACUAUUUUAUGUGCUCUCGUCAUUAGAAGGCAAGUAGAACCAUAUACAGUAUAAGGAUGUAUUGAUGAUAUGCUGCACAAACAAACACACACGCACACACACACACACACACACAAACAGAGCAUGUCUGGCAGUGGGGUGUGUGUGUGUGUGUGUGUGUGUGUGUGUGUGUGUGUGUGUGUGUGUGUGUGUGUGUAUAAAUAUAUCCGUUUAUUAUAAGUCUGAUAGUUUUCAAUUGUGAGAGAACAGGUCACCAUUUUUGUCUUCUAACAUCUCAUUGUUUACAUAUUGCUGUAUUUUGGCAGCUGGUAGCCACUGAUUUUACACCAAUCAGCUUUCUCGGAGCAAACUCAGUACACAAUCCAGAGUGGCACUCAUCUCUCCAGCUAAAACUGGCCAUAUCUUUUUUUUGUGUGAAAUAAUUCAGGACCCCUGCAAACUGUCCUCCAUGCAUCUAUAUGCUCUUGUUUUGUCAUGUCACUUCAGUCUGAUGCAAUCUUUCACUCAUCUCCACAAAUUUGCCAGGUAAUGCCAACACAGCUUAUUUGCACAGCACUACCUUAUUAGACAUCUGCCAAACUGACAAAUUAGUAAAUGCAAAACUUAUUAAAAUUACAAUUACUGUACAAGUUAUUUAAACAAAUACAAAAAAGACAAAAAAGCUAUUUAUGCAUACAACUUGAACUGGCUAUCCUAUCUAGGUGAUAUGAAUCCCUCAAUCGUGGAGUCUUCCAUCGUCACUGAACACUUCUGCAGUCAUCUCCAACAUCCUGGUCUGUGGACCCACCAAUCUGUCAGGUGGAGAAGUGGUGUUGCAAGGGACGACUACUGUGCCUCCUAGGGAUGAUCUGGGAACUCUUUGACGACCUUCAUCACUCUUGGUCUUCAGUGCUGCAAGCGCAUUCAUGUCAAGAUUUCCUGCAGGGAUGACAUCUCUGCCUCCUGUCAUGAUCUGGAAACUCCUUACAGUGUCCACCUUGGCCUCCAGAUGUGAUGGUGGUUGGCGAGCCGUCCCUGAUGGGUGGCGAGUUUGGAGAUGAAGACGAGCGGCUGAUAACCCGGCUAGAGAACACGCAGUACGACACCACCGGCGUAGAAGAUGGCGGUAAUGGUGGUGCACCGCAGGGAGCGGGACCUGGGGGUCCCGGACCCGGUCCUGCUGGACCCACCCCAUUCAACAAUUCACCGAUGACCGCUGGUCCUGGUGGGCCUUGGCCUGACCCUGCACGACAACCCCAGGAGACUGAUAAGAAGAGUCCAGCAAUCAGUCAGUAGCCCACACAAAUUUACACAUUUAGCUUCUCUUAUAUGAAGUAGACCUAAGAAUGAAUGCAUAGCUUCAGGAAUGGCAAUGUUUAUUUGGAAUGACCUCAGAUUAGGACAUUCCUGGUACAGUGAAGUUGUCCAUGAGAGGAGAGCUGUGGAGUGAAGCAGAUGGUGCAGGCCAACAAGUAUUACAAAAUAGUUGGCAAUCCAUCACUGAAGCAUUUUUAAUAAAUUGAAAUGUUAAUAGUUUUUAUUAUUUUAAUAGAAAAAAUAUCAAAAUAUAAAUUAAAAAUCUUUUGUUGUAGAACAUGACUGAUUUUAGAAAAUCAUUGUGAUCAAGGGUUUUAUGGGAAAUUUUUUACAAUUGAACUAUGGACUUCAAAGAUACAGAGGUGAAAACUCUGCUGACUUUACACAAGAAGGGUUGACAAUCCUCCUUAGGAACUAAGCUCAUAACCGACUGUAAGAAGGUGAUUUAAGCUACUAAGGCAGACGUGUGGAUAUGGGUAGCAGAGAGCAUUCUUCAUGUACCCUGAAGCUUCCCAUGAAGCUUCUCUUAUGGCCUGUUUUCAUAUCGACAGUGGUGCACACUUGUGAAUGCUUUGUAACUUUUAUAUUAUUUAGAGAAAAAUUAAUAGGGACCAAUGUUUUGGUCAGAGUUACAAGGUUAUUACAUUCUCUCUUGAGUUAUAUUGUCAUUCUCAUAAAAAAGAUGGGCCGUUAAUAUUUUAAUACAGUGUCAUUCAGAAGAAUGAAACGUGAGCCUUUGCAAAUCUGCUUGUCGUGAGAGAUGGUAGUUGUUCCUUUUUAUUCAUGUUUUAUGGCUGAAUGACCAUUGUGUGGUGUGAUGAUUCCUGUGAAGUAUUUAUACUUUGGCUUGCAAGUGGAAAGUAUUUUAUGGAUAUUGGUGAGAAUGUUAUCAAGAGUGAGUCUUUAUGUUGUGUGUGUGUAUAUUUGUAGUAGUAUAAGUUUUAAGUAUGGUACACGGCCUACACUAGCAAUAUUUCCAGGUAUGGGAAGUAUCCUGCACAAAAUUCCUUCUUUUUUUUUUUUAUACAUAUAGAAUCUGCAUUUAUAACCUUCAUUUAUCACAUUGGCAGAAAUGUUAUUUUUGCAUGCAUCAUACUGCACAGACGAUUUUACUAUUAUCAUUUUCUUCAACUAUUCCUGAGAGAACUUCAGGUAUCCAAGUGUAGGUAGUCAAAUGUGCUCUUAAGUUUAUAGUAAGCAACAGUUAUUAAGAUGCCUCAAGAUUAUUGAGUGUAUUGUCAACUAUCUUACGUUUUUUUUUUUCCUAAAUAUAUUGUAUGUAACCUUUUACAUUAUAGCUUUGUUUGGUUUGACAUCAUUUGUUCAUGAAUUUAAUUUUACCUCUUACAUGUUACAUUUUGUAAAGCAUUUCAUUAUCUUUUUAUACCAAAUGGGACUUCAUUAUAAUGCAUAUAUAAUAUGGAUGACUGGCAGGGUAUAUGACAUUGUUAUCCUAUAUUUUCUUCUGACUACAUGAACAGCAGUUAAUACUUGUAUCUUUGUACAAAUUUUCCAAGGAGUAGUAGUGUUUUUUCUAAUCAAAAUUCUGUACAAGCAAUAUGCAAAGGGAGACUGCAAGCCAGAGGCUUUUCCACAUUUGGUUUUAUACGAUAACCUUCACUGAACAAAAUAUUAUGCUUUAAAAAGGCAUUUAUCAUCUUGGCAUUUUCUUAUACAAUAGCAUGUAAACUCUCUUCUAUGUUCUCUCUUCAAACUGUCUCCUUAUAUCAGCCAUUUUCUUUUUGUUAUUCUGUACAGUAGUUUGAUUGGUUUAUGAACCUGCCUAGUAAACAUUCCACCAGAUAAAGUAAAAAUGAAAAUAUUUUUAUUUCUUCAAUAAAACUUUAAAAUAAAUCUAAUCAGAGGAAACUCUUCUUGUUCUUGCUUAAGAAAAAUUGAACAGUUUGAUAUUUUUGAACACACUGGUUGCCUAGGAAGAACACACUGGGUGCCUAGGAAGAACACACUGGGUGCCUAGGAAGAACACACUGGGUGCCUAGGAAGAACACACUGGUUGCCUAGGAAGAACACACUGGGUACCUAGGAAGAACACGCUGGGUACCUAGGAAGAAACAGACUUCUUGUGAAUCUCACAGGCUCCCAUCUGCAGUCCAUAUCAAGUGAAUGAGGCAUUUCUCACAAACUCUCUGUACAUUAUGGUGAAUGUUGAAUGCGAGACUACACUUUAAUUCUUUGGAGUUUGGUGUCGACUUGCCUUGGUUCCUCGUAUCGAGACUCCUCCCUGAGAACUCUCUUGUGUUACCUCUCUUGUAAAGUGUACAAAUCUUUGUUUGGAUGUGAUUGGUCGCCAAGAUUUCCCGAGAGGAAGCUACUAUUUCUUGUCUUCUAGAGCGAGUGAUGAUAAUAAAUAUUUUUAAUCUA